AGUGAACGCUGGCGGCAGGCCUAACACAUGCAAGUCGAACGGCAGCACAGUAAGAUCUUGCUCUUACGGGUGGCGAGUGGCGGGCGGGUGAGGAGUACAUCGCAAUCUACUUUUUCGGGGGGGAUAACGUAGGGAAACUUACGCUAGUACCGCAUACGACCUACGGGUGAAAGCAGUGGAUCUUCGGAGCUUUCGCGACUGAAUGAGCCGAUGUCGGAUUAGCUAGUUGGCUGGGUAAAGGCCCACCAAGGCGACGAUCCGUAGCUGGGCUGAGAGGAUGAUCAGCCACACUGGAACUGAGACACGGUCCAGACUCCUACGGGAGGCAGCAGUGGGGAAUAUUGGACAAUGGGCGCAAGCCUGACCCAGCCAUACCGCGUGGGUGAAGAAGGCCUUCGGGUUGUAAAGCCCUUUUGUUGGGGAAGAAAAGCUGUAGGUUAAUCCCCCGCUGUUCUGACGGUACCCAAUGAAUAAGCACCGGCUAACUUCGUG
rnacentral:rRNA from 1 species